rnacentral:rRNA from 1 species
GAUGAACGCUGGCGGCGUGCCUAAUACAUGCAAGUCGAGCGAACGGACGAGAAGCUUGCUUCUCUGAUGUUAGCGGCGGACGGGUGAGUAACACGUGGAUAACCUACCUAUAAGACUGGGAUAACUUCGGGAAACCGGAGCUAAUACCGGAUAAUAUUUUGAACCGCAUGGUUCAAAAGUGAAAGACGGUCUUGCUGUCACUUAUAGAUGGAUCCGCGCUGCAUUAGCUAGUUGGUAAGGUAACGGCUUACCAAGGCAACGAUGCAUAGCCGACCUGAGAGGGUGAUCGGCCACACUGGAACUGAGACACGGUCCAGACUCCUACGGGAGGCAGCAGUAGGGAAUCUUCCGCAAUGGGCGAAAGCCUGACGGAGCAACGCCGCGUGAGUGAUGAAGGUCUUCGGAUCGUAAAACUCUGUUAUUAGGGAAGAACAUAUGUGUAAGUAACUGUGCACAUCUUGACGGUACCUAAUCAGAAAGCCACGGCUAACUACGUGCCAGCAGCCGCGGUAAUACGUAGGUGGCAAGCGUUAUCCGGAAUUAUUGGGCGUAAAGCGCGCGUAGGCGGUUUUUUAAGUCUGAUGUGAAAGCCCACGGCUCAACCGUGGAGGGUCAUUGGAAACUGGAAAACUUGAGUGCGGAAGAGGAAAGUGGAAUUCCAUGUGUAGCGGUGAAAUGCGCAGAGAUAUGGAGGAACACCAGUGGCGAAGGCGACUUUCUGGUCUGUAACUGACGCUGAUGUGCGAAAGCGUGGGGAUCAAACAGGAUUAGAUACCCUGGUAGUCCACGCCGUAAACGAUGAGUGCUAAGUGUUAGGGGGUUUCCGCCCCUUAGUGCUGCAGCUAACGCAUUAAGCACUCCGCCUGGGGAGUACGACCGCAAGGUUGAAACUCAAAGGAAUUGACGGGGACCCGCACAAGCGGUGGAGCAUGUGGUUUAAUUCGAAGCAACGCGAAGAACCUUACCAAAUCUUGACAUCCUUUGACAACUCUAGAGAUAGAGCCUUCCCCUUCGGGGGACAAAGUGACAGGUGGUGCAUGGUCGUCGUCAGCUCGUGUCGUGAGAUGUUGGGUUAAGUCCCGCAACGAGCGCAACCCUUAAGCUUAGUUGCCAUCAUUAAGUUGGGCACUCUAAGUUGACUGCCGGUGACAAACCGGAGGAAGGUGGGGAUGACGUCAAAUCAUCAUGCCCCUUAUGAUUUGGGCUACACACGUGCUACAAUGGACAAUACAAAGGGCAGCGAAACCGCGAGGUCAAGCAAAUCCCAUAAAGUUGUUCUCAGUUCGGAUUGUAGUCUGCAACUCGACUACAUGAAGCUGGAAUCGCUAGUAAUCGUAGAUCAGCAUGCUACGGUGAAUACGUUCCCGGGUCU